GACGAACGCUGGCGGCGUGCUUAACACAUGCAAGUCGAGCGGUAAGGCCCUUUCGGGGGUACACGAGCGGCGAACGGGUGAGUAACACGUGGGUGACCUGCCUUUAGCUCUGGGAUAAGCCUGGGAAACCGGGUCUAAUACCGGAUAUGACUCCGCGGCGCAUGUUGUGGGGUGGAAAGCCUUGUGCGGCUGGAGAUGGGCCCGCGGCCUAUCAGCUUGUUGGUGGGGUGAUGGCCUACCAAGGCGACGACGGGUAGCCGGCCUGAGAGGGCGACCGGCCACACUGGGACUGAGACACGGCCCAGACUCCUACGGGAGGCAGCAGUGGGGAAUCCUGCGCAAUGGGCGAAAGCCUGACGCAGCGACGCCGCGUGAGGGAUGACGGCCU
rnacentral:rRNA from 1 species